UAAACAAACAAGCAAAAGGGGUCCUAAAGCAGCAAACUCUCAAAUCUCUUCUCCUUGGACAAUCUGCAAUAAACUAAAAGUUAGGCAAGGGUGCUCAGAGGUUAAGUUGAAGGGUUCUCAAUCUCUGAGGAAUCUUGUCAUUCCCUCUCCGCUUGCUGCUGUACUCUGGGAGAGUUUCACUCUUUCUCCAUAAAAAUGACUUUGGGGAAAGGGUCUGCUUCGUUAGACGCUGCAGGGUUUGUGUCUACCUCCAGUAUCAGAAUCCAGAACUUUUUAACAGGGAUCAGAGAUUUCACAAUGAUUAAAACAGGGAGGAACUGCAGACACCAUCUGACUCGAGUCUCUUGCUUUAUAAGAUGGGAAAACUGAGGCACAUGGUCUUUUUGUUUUGUUGGUUUUGUUUUCUCAAGGUAUCAGGACUAAAACGAAAUUCCAAGCCCCAUUCUGCUUCAAAGCCCUCUCCAUCCUGCCAGCCUCCACUAAACACGAUGAAACCCUUCCCUCACCUCCAGCGUUCAACUCCACUGAAGGAACUCAGGAUUGUUGUUUACCCAUCCGUGAACCUAUACUCGAAAAAACAUAAAAACCAAGACAAUCAUCAAGAACAGGACACUCUUAAACAUAUACAAGGAAGCAGAUGUUUAAUCUGGAUUGCAUUUAUACAUCUGCAAUCUAUCAAUGAAUCUUUUCAAAAUCUGUAAUGUGGUCCAUCAAAAUGGCUACACUGGAUGGCAAUCGUGGAUACUGACGCACUACUUGAAGAAAGCUGCUUCAGCGGGGUGCUCUGUUGCUAUUAUGCUAAACAAUCACCUCCUAGGGUCUAAAGAGAUUGAGAGUUUAUAUCUGUGGAUGAGAAAAUUAUGUUUCCAUCUACAGUCCCAAACUGCCAAGUUACUAAGAAAUAUGGAAACGGACCUUUUUGAGCAAGAGGUGGAAAAAUCCAUAAAUCAACAGUGACUCUUGGAAAAAGCACACGUCUAAAACAAACUUAAAAGAUUAUCUUUAAGGGCAGCUUCAGGACUUUCCACUUGGGUUUCUCUGUACUACUCUGAUUAACUUUAUUACCUUCUACAGCGUCAUAACACAAAGGACAAGAAAUUGGAGGAAUGUGAUUACAUGGUGGCAUCCCUA